UGCCUACGGGAGGCAGCAGUGAGGAAUAUUGGUCAAUGGGCUUACGCCUGAACCAGCCAAGUCGCGUGAGGGAAGACUGCCCUAUGGGUUGUAAACCUCUUUUGUCAGGGAGCAACGCCGGCUACGUGUAGCCGGACUGAGAGUACCUGAAGAAAAAGCACCGGCUAAAUACGUGCCAGCAGCCGCGGUAAUACGUAUGGUGCAAGCGUUAUCCGGAUUUACUGGGUGUAAAGGGAGCGCAGGCGGCGCGUUAAGCCUGGUGUGAUA
rnacentral:rRNA from 1 species